GGAUCGGGCCUUUCAGGCAUCCUCUCCUAGACUUCAGGGUCGGCCGCCUCUGCGGACCGGCCCGUUUUUUCGCCCGAG
rnacentral:sRNA from 1 species